AAUAAUUAAAAAAAUAUUAUGCACAAGUAAAUGAAUUACCAAUGUUCAAGCAUGUAUAAUUGUUUAGUACUUUAUAGUUUAUACUUUAUACUACUAGUCUAAUGCAAUAAUUAAAAAAAUAUUAACGUAACAAAAUUUCCUAAACAAUUUUUUAAAAGAUACAACUAUACAAGUCCACAAUUCUACAUAUAAUUGUCAAACACCUUUCUUAAAGUAAUACACUAAUACUACAUAUAAUAAUUAUAUAAUACAACAAUUUUAAUCCUUAUCUAACAAUUUAAUUACAAAUAAAAAAAAAAAAUUAAACAUCUACAAGCUCAACUUACAGUACUGUUGCUUGAGACUUUAAGAGCUUAAGACUUUGAGUAGUGCUUUACAGCUCACUCCCAACUCCCAAGAAGAGUCUGAAGAGUCUCAGAGACCCAGACUACUCCCAACUCCCAAGUAGUGCUCUAUUUUUCUUCAAAUUCCUAAAUUCCCACUCAAGAACUCAAUUAAAACCCAUUUUUCUCUCUCUUAAAAAUUACUUAAAGCUCAUCUUCAACCUCAAGAGUCAAGAGUCGAAGCUAAGUAAUCAGUGAUGGUAUGUUCGUCGGCCGGCGGCAAUGUUCUAUCCCCGACUCUAGGUUUCGUAGAUCUGAAAACGGGUCUGUAUUCUUUCAGCCUUUGAGUGCCACGAUGCCUCAAACUGGUCCAAGAAAACACUGUUGAUGCCUACUCUAGCUUCUGUAAUUUGCAUUACUCUCUUCCUCUUUAUUGAGGUCAAAGCGGGGAUGGCAUGAAUGGUAAGGUGGGGUUACAAUAACCUAAGUUGUGUUUGUUCUAUUGCUAUUGGGGUGAUGGCCAUAUGCUGUGUAGUUGAAUAAUUCCUUGUAAUUCAGAGGUCUACUUGCGGUCAUCCGGACUGAAUUACUGUAUCAUGAGUAAAUAUAUAUUGAUGUAAUAUAACAAAGUGUGCUGGUAGAGUUCUUGCUUGUUUGUACUCUUUAGGAAAUCAUUUCUCACUGUUCUUUGUCAUCUGUUACUACCCUAAAUAUCAUUUUCGUAUGCUGGACAGGCUUUCUUACAAUUUAUUUCUUAUUGAAAUCUUUGCAAGACAUUUUAGGGUGUGCACUUAUAUUAGUAGUGAUUAAUGUUUAAAGUGCAUGACAUAUUGUCAGCUGAUUUAUAGUUAAGGCCAGUGCCUUGUGGCAUAAUAACUUUACAAUUUUAUCCCUGCAUC